rnacentral:sRNA from 1 species
UACCAGAGUAAACUUGAACCUUGAUGUAU